rnacentral:rRNA from 1 species
GACGAACGCUGGCGGCGUGCCUAAUACAUGCAAGUAGAACGCUGAAGAGAGGAGCUUGCUCUUCUUGGAUGAGUUGCGAACGGGUGAGUAACGCGUAGGUAACCUGCCUGGUAGCGGGGGAUAACUAUUGGAAACGAUAGCUAAUACCGCAUAAAAUUGAUUAUUGCAUGAUAAUUAAUUGAAAGAUGCAAUUGCAUCACUACCAGAUGGACCUGCGUUGUAUUAGCUAGUUGGUGAGGUAACGGCUCACCAAGGCGACGAUACAUAGCCGACCUGAGAGGGUGAUCGGCCACACUGGGACUGAGACGCGGCCCAGACUCCUACGGGAGGCAGCAGUAGGGAAUCUUCGGCAAUGGGGGGAACCCUGACCGAGCAACGCCGCGUGAGUGAAGAAGGUUUUCGGAUCGUAGAGCUCUGUUGUAAGAGAAGAACGGGUGUGAGAGUGGAAAGUUCACACUGUGACGGUAUCUUACCAGAAAGGGACGGCUAACUACGUGCCAGCAGCCGCGGUAAUACGUAGGUCCCGAGCGUUGUCCGGAUUUAUUGGGCGUAAAGCGAGCGCAGGCGGUUAGAUAAGUCUGAAGUUAAGGCUGUGGCUUAACCAUAGUAUGCUUUGGAAACUGUUUAACUUGAGUGCAGAAGGGGAGAGUGGAAUUCCAUGUGUAGCGGUGAAAUGCGUAGAUAUAUGGAGGAACACCGGUGGCGAAAGCGGCUCUCUGGUCUGUAACUGACGCUGAGGCUCGAAAGCGUGGGGAGCAAACAGGAUUAGAUACCCUGGUAGUCCACGCCGUAAACGAUGAGUGCUAGGUGUUAGGCCCUUUCCGGGGCUUAGUGCCGCAGCUAACGCAUUAAGCACUCCGCCUGGGGAGUACGACCGCAAGGUUGAAACUCAAAGGAAUUGACGGGGGCCCGCACAAGCGGUGGAGCAUGUGGUUUAAUUCGAAGCAACGCGAAGAACCUUACCAGGUCUUGACAUCCCUCUGAUCGCUCUAGAGAUAGAGUUUUCCUUCGGGACAGAGGUGACAGGUGGUGCAUGGUUGUCGUCAGCUCGUGUCGUGAGCUGUUGGGUUAAGUCCCGCAACGAGCGCGACCCCUAUUGUUAGUUGCCAUCAUUCAGUUGGGCACUCUAGCGAGACUGCCGGUAAUAAACCGGAGGAAGGUGGGGAUGACGUCAAAUCAUCAUGCCCCUUAUGACCUGGGCUACACACGUGCUACAAUGGCUGGUACAACGAGUCGCAAGCCGGUGACGGCAAGCUAAUCUCUGAAAGCCAGUCUCAGUUCGGAUUGUAGGCUGCAACUCGCCUACAUGAAGUCGGAAUCGCUAGUAAUCGCGGAUCAGCACGCCGCGGUGAAUACGUUCCCGGGCCU